AAUAAGAUUUUCAUCCACACUAACCCUUACCCUGAGACGCCAACUUCUGCCUCUUUUCCUUCCGACCACUCGGACCCUCUUUCUUCCUCACGAACACCAUGUCUCUGUCGGCUCAGACGCGAGCCAACGGUCGUCCGAUCUCACACCGCCAAAUUAACCGAUCUCGAAUUUAAGAACAAGUAGAUCGAUUUCAGGGUCCGAAGCAGAGCGAGAGCCGGCGCCGAAGUUCAUGAGGCUGAGGGGGUUGGCGGCCGAGGGUCCGAGCAUGGAGAAGAAGAAGGAGAAGAGGAAGUUCUGGAUCGCUUUGUCUAAGGAUGAAAUUGAAUCCUCAGAUCUGCGACGGGAACGACCUUGAUAUCUCGCGAUUUCCUCUCCACAAUCGAUGAUUCCCAGCCAUUAAGACCCUGAACAGAGGUAUUGCUGAGUUCAUCGUGAUGGCUGCCGAUGCUGAGCCGCUUGAGAUCAUUCUUCAUCUUCCCCAGUUGGCUGAAGAUAAGCUUGGUGAUUGUUGGGUGGAUUCUUGUUACUUGUACAUUCAUCUUGUGUGGUGCAUUUCUCCUCAUCCAUGAUGUGUUUGUAGAUGCAUGUGUCUCAUGGAUGAGUGGGUUUUAAAAAAAUCAACUGCUUAUACUUCUUUGGAUGACUUCCUUCCAUGUGUGGAUAAAGAUGUAGCCCAAGGCAUGUUGAAUGACGCCAAGAUGGCAAACUACGCUGCUAUUGGAGUGGUUAAUCAAAUCAUCGAUAUGGCAAAUUGUGAUCCUAAUUCUGGUGAUGGCGGUUCCCAUUGAGUUUCAAUAAUCUGGUCAAAGAAUUGCUCUAGAUCUGCUAACUUUCAAAGGUUUGUGAAAUCUAAUUCUUAUACCCAUAUGCAUACAUAAUGUGUAGAGGAUGGGUGUGCAUUUAAUGAUUGUGAACUUGUGAUCAGGUAUGAGAACCCAGAUAUGGAGGAGUUGAAGCUCAAGGAAGCUGAGCAAUUGAAUGAUGACAAAUUCAAGCAAGUAAACACAUGUUGGUGG